rnacentral:rRNA from 1 species
UACGUAGGGACCGAGCGUUGUCCGGAUUCAUUGGGCGUAAAGAGCUCGUAGGCGGUCUGUCGCGUCGGAUGUGAAAAUCCAGGGCUCAACCCUGGACCUGCAUUCGAUACGGGCAGACUAGAGUUCGGCAGGGGAGACUGGAAUUCCUGGUGUAGCGGUGAAAUGCGCAGAUAUCAGGAGGAACACCGGUGGCGAAGGCGGGUCUCUGGGCCGAUACUGACGCUGAGGAGCGAAAGCGUGGGGAGCGAACAGG